UAUCUGUCUAUAUCUGUCUAUCUCUUUCUCUCAUGUUUAGGUUUCCAUAACAAAAAGAAAAGGUCUUUCAGUCCCUAAGUCAGCAUUCUGAGUAGCAGAACCACAUUUAGCUGUAGUAAGUCCACCCAGGCUUGCCCCAUCCCACUGUGUCUCUUUGAUAAGGCCUGAAUUCCCUAGAUAAGGUAUAAAGUCCCUAAACAAAGUCCUCCUUGCUCCAUACCUGGGGUCUUUGUUCUAGCACUGACCCAAGCUCACAUACCUGAGCUACACCCCUGAGUGUGACUUUUAUGGCGGCUGGGGCUUCCCAAAGAUCUGGAGAGAGAAAAGGUCAGGUAGAAAUGGAAGAGUGGCUGUGCAGAAACAGGAGCUUGGUUAUCAGAGAGAAUUCAGCACAUGGUUACCUCAGAAAAGUCAAUAAGUUCUAGGGAGGCAGCGGCUGAGUGGAAAGGAGUUCUUAGGCUAAGCUGGGAGUUUGGAAGCUAGACAGGACAAAAAUCAAGUUCACAAACUACAAUCAAGAAGAAUACAUCUGAACCUUGCCCUUCAGGUUUGCAAACCACAAAGACUUGUGGGGACAUCAGAAGAAGGAUGACCCAAGUAUGGAAUGAUGCCAUUAGAUCCUGGAGAAGAAGACAUCAGCAGCUAGGAUGUACCCUCUAGUCCUUGUCAGAGACUGCAAGAAGCACAUUCUCUGGAGGAGCCCACACACAUUGAUUAUGGAGUCAUCAAAGUCCAAUGGUGUGACAAAAGUCAAGACAACUGGUGAUGACUCGGGAUGCAGUGGAUGUCUUUGGCAUUUCUGAUGUCUGACCAAGCUCUAGAUCUUUCACAUCCCCUGCUGCAGUUGCCUUCAUGACUGUUAGAACAAAUUAUUCUCAUAUACUUCUGCUGGGGGAAGACUUCACAUGCCUGGGUAGACACCCCUCUUACACAUUUGAGAGUAAGGUUUGAAACCUCUCCUUACUCUCAAUCAGGUUGUAGAUAAGUUACAAUUUGACUUGGUAAAGGAAUUUUCUACAAUCACAGAACCUUCAAAUAAUAGAGGUUUA
rnacentral:lncRNA from 1 species